CACACCGCCCGUCACACCAUGAAAGUUGGCUGUACCAGAAGUCGCCGUGCUAACCGCAAGGAGGUAGGCGCCCAAGGUAUGGUCGAUGAUUGGGGUG
rnacentral:rRNA from 1 species